UACGUAGGGUGCAAGCGUUGUCCGGAAUUACUGGGCGUAAAGGGCUCGUAGGCGGCCAACUAAGUCGGACGUGAAAUCCCUCGGCUUAACCGGGGAACUGCGUCCGAUACUGGAUGGCUUGAGUUUGGGAGAGGGAUGCGGAAUUCCAGGUGUAGCGGUGAAAUGCGUAGAUAUCUGGAGGAACACCGGUGGCGAAGGCGGCAUCCUGGACCAACACUGACGCUGAGGAGCGAAAGCCAGGGGAGCAAAGCGGG
rnacentral:rRNA from 1 species